rnacentral:misc_RNA from 1 species
CAGCCAGCGGCUGAAAUUUCUCAGAUAUAUAUAUUUAUGUGUCACUGAGAUGUGUGUACUAGCUUAUAAAUUCUCACCAAAGCUAAACAUAUAUACAUGGACGAUUCCUGGCGGAUGCGGAUGGGAAUGCCCAGCCUCCCACGGCGCCGUUCCAUUGAAGACACGUUGGCCGGCUCCACAAGGCUUUCCAUGGAGGCCAUGGACCCCGACGACUUCGCUGAUGUUUUCGGCGGACCACCUCGCAGCGUUUUGUCCCGUAAAUUCUCAGGCGACUUCACUAGUUCAUCCACUUCUUUUUACGAGGAGAUUUUCCGACCGCAGGAGUUUGUUGCUUCCGUAGAGAAGAAGAGUGGUGGAGGACGGAGCUUGCCGGCUUUCAGGAUCCCCGCUAAGGGUGAAGGAUUCUACAGUGAUGUUUUUGGUUGGGAGGAGGGACGGAGGUCGAGGGACAGAUCGAAGCCCAACUCUAAGGCUAAAUCGAAGUCGAAUUCCUCGUCGGUGCUGAGUUCAGAGGAGCUGAGCCCUCAUCGGCGCACAGUGACCGGCGAUGAUGUUGCAUUGUCCUCUUUUGCUUCGAAGCUCAGGCCAAUCAAUGUGCCAUAUAGGUGGAACUCCACCGCAAUGAGACCUGAAGAACAAGCAAGGAAAGAAGAGAUGCCAUCUUUUCCAAGAAAUUUUCCUUCCCAUGCGGACAAUUAUUACAUGGAAAAUGAAUACAAUGACAGUUUCAGAAGCUCCUAUAUCAAAGUUUCACGGCAGGUCUCAUCCCCAGAAACCAUUAGUCUCGAACCCAAUUCGUAUCAAAGCAUCAAAGUAUCUGUGGAUGAUUUAGAGGUCAACUCCCCGUCAUCUCUUGUCUCUUCGCUUUGUCAAGAACAGGAGGCAAGUGCUGGCAAGCAGGCGGAAGAUGAAGAAAUGGAACAGGCGGCAGAUGAAGUUAUGAGUUCUUAUGUCAUUGAGAUCAAUUCUGACCAUAGAGAAGCAGCUAGCGAAGCAAUUUCAAUUGAUGAAGCAAUCGCGUGGGCUAAGGAAAAGUUUCAGGCACAAAGUCUUGACAGACAGCAAAAGAAAGAUCUAUCACCUGAGGUAGAAGGUGAUAUUGUAACUCAUAUAGUUUGAACUCAAAUUUCACAUUGAGAGGUUGCAGGAAUAAAUGACAAGUUGUUUCGUUUGUCCGCGAAUUCUGCAGAAAGUCCUAAUACGCGCGAAUUUACAUCACCUCAAAUCGAUGGACACGGAAGGACGCAAUCUACCUCGGUAAAGUACUGUUUUCUGAAAGUACAAACAAUAAAAGAUAAGAUAAUCCGUAUAUGAAAUAUAAUGAUGGAUUGUGAAUGAUUCAAUACAUAGCGUUUGGAAUAGAUCGAGUUCACUUAGACAAACCGUGUAUCUGAAAUUUUGCCCGUGCUGAUCACUUGUAAUAAUGUCAAGAAUCUAAAAGGCGUGUUUGGCAAACCAUAUGGGGAAUGAUGGAAUAAUGUAACUGAAUGACGCAUCAGACAUUUGUUUCAAUUUAUUGCAUUUUACUGGAAAUGUUUAAUAAUUACUGAUUCCAUAAUAGCUAGAUAGAUAAGGCACCCUCGCUUCCUAAUAUCUCGGUUCCCUUGAUCUAAACCUGUGCCACUAGAUAUAUACCCAGACAGGUGCAUGUAUGAGGUACUAACCUGAACGUGGCAUUUGUUUUCUUGUGCUUGAAUAUAGUUUUGGUGAUCAAUAUACAAGGGAAUGCAAUUCAAAGGACCGAGUGAUGAGAGCAAGGGAGAAUUUAAUCAUAUAAUUUACCUUCUACUUUUGCAGGAAGAAGAGCUAAAGAAAUGGAGAAGUGAAGAAGAAAAAGAUCAAUCAGAAAAAGAUGUAAGCUCCUCAUACUAUCAGAUUCAAUUUGUGCUUGCAUAAAAUAAAAGUUUGGGUUGAGGAGAUAGCUUUCUUGCAACAAGUGAUGCAUUAUUUGUGACCUGAAAAACUCUUUAGGUAUGAUAGGAUAACAUCACAAGGAAUGAGAUUCUGAUAACAUCUGCAAAAAUAAUUGUGUUCUGAAGUUUGAACCAGUAGCAUUUUAGCUCAACACACAAGGAAUGAGAUUGACUAAUGUUUUUCUUUUCCUUGUGCAGCAAUUACAGAUAGAGCUGGAGCUACUGGAUGAAGAUGUCCGGUUGUGGUCAGAAGGCAAGGAGACCAAUAUUCGUUUGCUGCUUUCAACACUGCAUCAUGUAACAUCUCCAAUCUUUUCUUAUGUUAAAUAUGACGAUGCUCAUGGCUUUGAAUGUAAAUGUUUUAUUGUCGUUGAAUUCAGAUUCUAUGGUCCAACAGCGGUUGGUGCGCCACCUCUCUGACAAGCCUUAUUGAAAGCUCACAUGUAAAGAAGGCCUAUCAGAAAGCAAGGUUGUCUCUCCACCCAGACAAAUUGCAACAAAGGGGGGCUACGCUACAACAGAAGUACGUUGCAGAAAAGGCCUUUUCCAUUGUCCAGGUAAAUCUUAGAUGUGGCAGCAAAAAUGUUUCAGAGCACAUAAAAGAAUUUAUUUCAAUAGAUUUCCAAAAUUGAUUCAGUAGGAGGAGAAAAGAAAUCAAUAAUCCAAAAUAACACUCCAAUAGCAAGGGCAGUGGGUAGUGAUUCACUUGUUACAUGCUUUUACAGGAUGCGUGGGCUGCAUUCAUCUCCCAAGAUGUCUUGUUUAACUAGUAGACAAUUCAGGAUCCUUCGGUAAUCAGUUUUGUGAAGUAAGUUUGAAACCAAUAGCAAGCUAGCUGGAAUAUUUGAAGAAUGGAGAAAAAAAAAUCAUAUAUUCAAGAAUUUUGUAUGUUCAUCUGAUGCCUAACUUGCUUUCCUCUUCCAUUCUGAAAACGAUAUGAGGAUGAGAAUGAUAGUAUUGUUGAUAUCAUCUCAGUUGGUAUUUGGGUUUGUACAAUAUGAUUUUAUUCAAAUCAACACUAAUUCCACCUCCCCCUGCAGAUCAAUUGUGCUUAAUCAUUCAUAUUCCAUAUCUUGACAUAAUAAUUUGUGUUUUUGGACUGUAAGUUUCCAUCUAAUUUUAAUGGAUUGCUCAUCUUUCACCAAGUGCAUGCCUUGUCAGGAUUCAACCAAAUUCCACCUGAUGGUCCCACGGAAACCACAACCCUUCUGCUGAAACUUGCCCUCUACCCCACAGAAUAAAAGUAAAAGGAAUGGCGGACUUCCCAAAAUGGUCCAUUGAACUUUUAACAACUUAUUCUCUCCGCUCUGAGACGCAACUAUUCUAUAAGUAUAAAGAAAAGUGUACAAAAAUAUGGUAGAAAUCAUUUUCUACCCAAAACACAAAAAAUUAUCUCUGUUUCAGCAUGAUUUCAAGGCAUAGGGUAUUUUCUUUGAUUUGGAAAAACACGUUAGCAUGAGCUGUCUAUAAACUAGAUGCUUAGGAAAGAAUUAAAUUUACUUUAUAUUGUUUGGAUAGAUUACUAGAAUAGAGGAGAAAUAUAAUUUCUCUUAAAGAAAAUGAAAAAUGACUAUCCUCACAAGCUAAGAAAGAUAAGCUUCUAAAAAAUUGAGGGCAUUUAAGUAUUUUAAUACAACUAAUACCUAUGUCUCUCCAUUUCCCAUCAAUUUGG